UACGUAGGGCGCAAGCGUUGUCCGGAAUUAUUGGGCGUAAAGAGCUCGUAGGCGGUCUGUCGCGUCCGUCGUGAAAGCCCACAGCUUAACUGUGGAUCUGCGGUGGGUACGGGCAGACUAGAGUGAUGUAGGGGAGACUGGAAUUCCUGGUGUAGCGGUGAAAUGCGCAGAUAUCAGGAGGAACACCGAUGGCGAAGGCAGGUCUCUGGGCAUUAACUGACGCUGAGGAGCGAAAGCAUGGGGAGCGAACAGG
rnacentral:rRNA from 1 species